rnacentral:rRNA from 1 species
CGUAGGGGGCGAGCGUUGUCCGGAUUUAUUGGGCGUAAAGAGCGUGUAGGCGGUUCGGUAAGUCUGUCGUGAAAUCCUGAGGCUCAACCUCGGAGGUGCGAUGGAUACUGCCGGGCUAGAGGAUGGUAGAGGCGAGUGGAAUUCCCGGUGUAGCGGUGAAAUGCGCAGAUAUCGGGAGGAACACCAGUAGCGAAGGCGGCUCGCUGGGCCAUUCCUGACGCUGAGACGCGAAAGCUAGGGGAGCGAACAGGAUUAGAUACCCUGGUAGUCCUAGCCGUAAACGAUGGACACUAGGUGUGGGGGGAGUCGAAUCCCUCUGUGCCGCAGCCAACGCGUUAAGUGUCCCGCCUGGGGAGUACGGCCGCAAGGCUA